rnacentral:rRNA from 1 species
AUAUUGGGCGUAAGCGCGCGCAGGCGGUUUCUUAGUCUGAUGUGAAAGCCCCCGGUUCAACCGUGGUGGGUCAUUGGAAACUGGGGAACUUGAGUGCAGAAGAGGAAAGUGGAUUUCCUUGUGUAGCGUUGAAAUGCGCAGAGUAUAUGAAGGACCACCAGUGGCGAAAGGCGACCUCUCUUGGUCUGUACCUGACGCUGAUGUGCGAAAGCGUUGGGGGAUCAGACAG